UGGGGAAUAUUGCACAAUGGGCGAAAGCCUGAUGCAGCAACGCCGCGUGAGUGAUGAAGGCCUUCGGGUUGUAAAGCUCUGUCUUCUGGGACGAUAAUGACGGUACCAGAGGAGGAAGCCACGGCUAACUACGUGACAGCAGCCGCGGUAAUACGUAGGUGGCAAGCGUUGUCCGGAUUUACUGGGCGUAAAGGAUGCGUAGGCGGAUACUUAAGUCAGAUGUGAAAAUCCCGGGCUUAACUUGGGAACUGCAUUUGAAACUGGGUAUCUAGAGUGCGGGAGAGGACAGUGGAAUUCCUAGUGUAGCGGUGAAAUGCGUAGAGAUUAGGAAGAACACCAGUGGCGAAGGCGACUUUCUGGACCGUAACUGACGCUGAGGCAUGAAAGCGUGGGGAGCAAACA
rnacentral:rRNA from 1 species